UAAAACGUGCUCGAAGAAGACUUCUCUCC
rnacentral:piRNA from 1 species